CAGCUUGCACUCCCUCCUCACGUUCCUCUCUCCCUCACUCUUCCUCUCUCUCACACGUUACUCUCUCUGACAAUAUAAAAAAAGGAAAACAAAAAGAAAGGAGGAGAUACUCAUGACUCUCUCUUCACUAAAAAAAAUAAAAGUGAAAAAGGAGAGUUCACUCGUAUACACCACGGGUCCGAGAGAAAAACGAAAAAAAAUUUAAAAGAAAACUUUGUUCCUCUUCUUGCAGGAGCAGUGAAACCAUCACUCCAAAACCCACUGAACUUCCUCUUCUUCACACCACGAGUCCGCCGGCGACUGCGAACACAAAACGGAAACCCCUUUCGUCCGCCGUCCAACAACACACAUCCACCGCGCGCCACCAUUUCACUUCCACACCUACCGCCAUACACCCCAUCACCAUAACAACCUCUUGGCACAAUCACAAAAGGCAACAACUAUCAUGUUCUUUACGGUGCGUGGUGCUGCGAUUUCAUUUCGAAUCCACCGUAUUUCCACGAAAUAUCCAAACUCCGCCGUCGAGAUCCUCCGUCUCACAUCUUAGAGACCACCUCAGAUCCAACACGCCUCCUUCCUUGCAGAUUCGAAAAACCCUCCGACGAACUCUCGAACUCACUAUUCGCCGCCUAUCUAUCUUCAAAAUUUCGAUUGAGAAUUACUGCAUCAAGACGAGCGCCACCACCGUAAUUUCUCCAACCAUACUCAAAGUUGGCAUCUUCCUAAUGUUGUUCCUUUCACUACACCAGAGGGACUAGGAGAACCGCUUUUACGGUUGGAAACGAAGACUACCGCUGACCGGAUCUGGAGAUGAUUGAGGACUUUGUUGCAUAUAGUCAUUGAAUAAUUCAUGUUUCAUGAAGUAAUUGGUCCAUGUUUUUUUGUUUUUUUUGCUAUUACUUCUAUUAUGUAAAACAAAAGAGAUUGCUAGUUUGGUAGGUGAUUGAUUCUAUAUUAUGGAUAGACAAGUUUGUUUACAAUCUAUAUAGUAGAUUAGAGUUUAGUUUAGAUGUCCAACCGUUCUUGCUCUUUCACGUUUGAUAUCAUGGAUAAUGUAUCCUGUAAGUAGUACAAAUGGGAUUUGGUUCUUGCUAUUCUA